AAGAGCACGUGAGUUAUCUGAGAACACAAGAUGUGAAGUGUGCCUUCCACUGCGGUAAAUAACCUGAUAAAUACCUGCUAGUCCAGUCUCAGCUAUUGUGCUUAGUCUUCUUGGCAAAUCACUAGUAUGUUGGGUUUUGCUUGUUUUUGCCAUACUGAUUCUCACAGGGGUACUGCUCACAUGUACUCCCAGUGCCAUUACAUGCAAACAACAGCCACAGCAUACAACCAUACUUGCUCUCCAGCAGUGGUGUAGACACAUGUAACUCCAGGCUAAGAUUUCACAAGAAGAAAAUAGGGGUAAAAAAGCUUGGCCUGGCAGGCCGGCAUACACAGACUAUUACUGUUUUCUACAUUCGAUAUCACUGCAUCCAGAAAAAAACAUCCUGGCAGAGGAGAGCUGCUUCAUGUCCCAAAACACCUUGAUUUCCUUCCCGCACCCUGCUACCACUCAUAUUUUGAAGGACUGGAGCUAAAUCUGUUUGGUACAGAUAUCCCCCAUGAAAAAUUCCAGGUGUUCAGCACAGAGUUGCAAGGAGCAUGGCUUUGUUGGUGAUAACAAUGUAUGGGUUUGGAAAUUCACCUCUACUUGUGCAGAAGAGCGGUGGCCUGGGGGGCUCACGCUCAUUUUCUCUGCUGAAGAUCAGUUUUCAGCUCCCUCCUGCACCUCCUCAAACGUCUGUCUGGACAAAGAGUGGGAAGCUCCAUUUUGUGGGAAAUUCUGCCAUUGAGUUCCAGCCACAGCAAGAAAUGCACUUUUGCAGUUUCUAACACUUUUUCAAGGAGGGAUAAUGGAAACAUUUCUGUCUGAAACCAAGCAGAGCAGCUGACUGCACCAGUUCUGGGCCAUCCAAGGAUCCUCAAGGCUCACUGUCCACCCGGGGUUCCAAUGCAGAGUCACCCUCAGCGAGUACCUCAGCCACCACUGCCCUAGCCUGCCAAUGGGGCUCUCACCAGCAGCAUCCCAGCUGCUGCAUACACCAGUGUUCUCUUGCAUUCUCCCCACUACACAUUGCAGCUUUUCAGAUGUUUGUGUUUGUUGGCUUUUUUUAACUUAUGUUCUUGCAUUUCCUAGAGGGUGCUAAGAACACAGAUGGAGGGUGAAGGGUGAGUACAUCCAGAUGCUCAUACUGGCUUUUCCCAGUGCGGCCUUGGGUUUUGCAGUUGCAGGAGGAAGGGAAACUGAACCCAAAUAUUCUGUUACUGUCAUAAACUCCUCCAAUUCUCCCACUUUCAAUACUUCUAAAAUUAGGGCCAUGCACCAUUGCCUCACUAUAUCCCUUUCACUCCACUCUUUAUAGAUAUUCUAUAUGAGGCUGGUCUACAGUUUCUGUCAUCAUUAAAGGAUUUCAUGACAAAUGGUCUAUAAGCCUGAACCUUUAAUCCUUCCCAUUCAUUCUAGCACAGAGUCCCCAGAGAGCACCUGCAAUGUGUUCUCACCAACAAGACUCUCUCAAAGUGAAUGUCCUUCCCCUGAGGUAUUCAGCAUCUUCAUCACCCAUGGCAGCUCUCUGAAAGGAGCUCCCUAUAGCUCCUCCACUGAAUCUUCACGCUGAUGCCAUAGUUAGGGGUAACAAAUGCUUUGUUAGGUAAGAUAAAAUCCCUGGUUGCAAGGAAGUCAGAUAGCAAAAGUCCCAUUGCCAUUGGGACACCCCGAGCAGCUCAUAUAGAUCAAAGGCUACACAUGGGAACACUGUCAUGCAUGUCUCUGUAAAAAUAUUAUAUCUGUCUUGGCUUCAUUAUUCCUACUAUUUCUUGGUCCAUAACAAGACCAAGCAAAUCCUAGAUUUCCUCUUUCUUAGAGCUUCUGUUAGUGAAUCUAUCCUUACUCCCAUACUAUUUCUUAACUGUGAAAUUUCAGAUUAAGAAAAAAAAAUCUACAGAAAAAAUAAAA
rnacentral:lncRNA from 1 species